rnacentral:rRNA from 1 species
GACGAAGGGGGCUAGCGUUGUUCGGAAUUACUGGGCGUAAAGCGCGUGCAGGCGGUUGCCUAAGUCGGGUGUGAAAGCCUUGAGCUCAACUCAAGAAUUGCGCUCGAUACUGGGUGACUAGAGGACCGGAGAGGAUAGUGGAAUUCCCAGUGUAGUGGUGAAAUACGUAGAGAUUGGGAAGAACACCAGUGGCGAAGGCGGCUAUCUGGACGGUUUCUGACGCUAAGACGCGAAAGCGUGGGGAGCAAACAGG